rnacentral:rRNA from 1 species
ACUCCUACGGGAGGCAGCAGUGGGGAAUAUUGGACAAUGGGCGAAAGCCUGAUCCAGCCAUGCCGCGUGUGUGAAGAAGGUCUUCGGAUUGUAAAGCACUUUAAGUUGGGAGGAAGGGCAGUAAAUUAAUACUUUGCUGUUUUGACGUUACCGACAGAAUAAGCACCGGCUAACCCUGUGCCAGCAGCCGCGGUAAU